GCAGCACCUGAGCACGGGAGCCUUCCCACAAGUGUCCAGGGACAGCCUGCCAUUCUCAGACAACUGCCAGGGGGUGGCUUGGAGGCACGAGAAGGACAAGGCCCCAUGCUGUUGUCAAGGCUGAUGUUUGGAGUGGAGAGUUCCUUCCUAGCUUUGACUGUUUCAGGGUUGUUGUUUUGACCCUUUCUCAAUCACAAGCUGGAGGAUGAUUGUGGAGCCCAGGAAGGUGAUCUGAGGGUGAUUUCUCUGGAAGAUCAGAAGGGACAUUGCCAAUAUGCUCUGCACAGCCACACUUGUGUGUACCAGCUCAAUCCAGAUGGAGUUGCUGUUAUGUUUGGUGGAACUGCUCUGUUGGAUGGCAUACCCACAAAGAUGGGCUUUGUGACAGGGCCAGAAGUGUGUGGUUAGUCCAUCAGCUGUCCCCUCCCUGCAGUUUCUCAGUGAGCUGUGCACACAUGACCACACUCUGAUUGUUUCCCUCCCACGCACACAAACUCUGUGGUAAGUUGUUCAGUGAGUUGUGACACGUUAAUGUUGUUGGCCUCUGAUGUUGUUGGGUUCAUUUUUCUGGAGGCUGACCACAGCAAUGCUAUCUGAAAAGU